rnacentral:lncRNA from 1 species
GACUCCAGAGGCCAGGGAAGGAGAUCAAGGUAGUCAAGCGGGGGUCGUCUCAGAUCUGGUUGUGCUCGAGCUAUGCAAAUGCCUCUCACGGAGAUGCGAGGACCUAUCUAUUAUGAUGACCAGGGCCACAUCCGGAGGGGGCAACAGACUUUCAUCUAUCAGCCCUUUUCAACCACUGAUCUACUAAACUGGAAACACUCUGAACCCUGCCAUCUUGCUCCUGGUAUCAGAGAGCCCUGUCGUGCAUAACUGUGUAGAAGUGUUGGACUCGGUUUACUCCAGCAGACCUGAUCUCCGGGACCAGCCUUGGGCAUCAGUAGACUGGAAGCUAUAUGUGGACAGGAGCAGCUUCAUCAACCCACAAGGAGAGAGAUGUGCGGGAUAUGUGGUGGAACCCUGGACACUGUCGUUGAAGCCAGAUCGUUGCUCCAAGGCACUUCAGCCCAGAAAGAUGAGCUCAUUGCUUUAAUUUGGGCCUUAGAACUCAGUUAAGUUGCAGGUGUUAUGUCUUGGAUCCACCACCAUCGGCUAACACCAUCAGCUCGGGACAGGUAAACCAGCCAGCAAGACCCAGAUAUCCAACCCGGCUAAUCCUGAGAUGAGACCAAGCUGCUGCUGAGGACAACAGCCCUGCUCUGGUUACUCUGGAGGCUGACCAGUCUAUGUACGGCUGAAGCUUGAAGAAACAAUAAGCCCUGCAUUAGUCAUACACCAGAAGCUGAGUAGUCUAAGCAUGGCUGAAGCUUGAGGACUUGUCAAGCAAAUAAUGUAGUUAGAAAUCUUAGGACUAGUGGUUUUCCUGUAUACUAACUGUUUUACUAUUGUUCUGUCACUGUGCUCAAUCUUUUUCUCAGGCCUUCUACGGUCCCAGGCUUUCUGCUGCAUACACUGAAGGGCCACGAAGUACAGUCAUCUGGACUUGGCACCUGGAAUACAAGGAUGGAAAGCAUCAUUUCUGCCAGCUUCUUAUGGUCCUGAGGCGAGACAGUCAUGAGAGAGGAAAACUGCAAUGACUUCUGACCACUGCCAGCCUCGCUUCCUGCAUUUUCUUCUUCGGCUUACUCUUGCCAAGUUGGAGUUGCCUAACUUCCAAGAGGGUAUUUGCUCUUUUUUUUUUCUCACUCCACAAACUCUUCCCAGGUAGUUCAGUCCACUCCCAUCUACCAGUCACUAUACGCCGAUGAAUGCCAAUAUUAUUAUUUCCAGCUUAGACAUUGUUCUUGGAUUGCAGAUGUGAGGUUUGACUUGUUUACUAGACAUUGCUGGCUGAGGAUCCCUAGCAUAACAUGGCCCAAAUUCAAUUUAUUUCCAAA